GAUGGUGUAGCCUGGUGGUCAUGGCGCAGCCAUUGCGUGUCGGAGGUUGCGGGUUUGAGUCCUGCCGACGCUG
rnacentral:tRNA from 1 species